AGUGUGAUUAUUGCCAGGAAACAGAGAUAGUGGGGCAUGCAUUGAUAUAGUGUGUGCAGUAUGAGAGGGAAAGAGGCUGAGAUCUAGUAUGAGGGAGUGUAUACAGGAAAUUAGUUUAAAGAGUAUAUUGAGUAGAACGUCAUUAGAUACAGUCUCAAAUAUUUUUUGUUAGCAUCUUUUUUAAGAGAAACGGGGCUGGCAGGUAGGAUUUAGUCCCUCUGUCUUUAGCCCACACUCCAGUACAGUAGGUGGUGGUAAUGCCCCAUAACGUUGCAUGCCAAACGCCAAUAAACACCACCGAAGAAGAAGUUUGAUGAAGUGGUUCUCCCGACUUACGUAAAACUUGGGUAUGUGAGAUAUGCGGUUAGACUGUAUGUACAGAAGCCGCUGUAGUGUUACAAUUGUAAUAACUUUGGACACGUGACAAGUGUUUGACGAAGGAAUAAAUAUGUCUUAGUUGAAGAGUCAGAUGAAACAGACCGCUGCACUACUCGGGCUCCCGUUACACUAGCAUGCUCCGAACACUUGUGUGUAACAGCAGGCCGCCAGAAGCGUAUUGUCACUGAAAAAUACUGUUGGCUGACAGUUGCAGCCAACAGCGCGAUGGGUAACGAUGCUUCGUGGGCGACCGUUGUUGAUGUGUGCAGAAGGUACCUGGUUCGCGCCCAUGUCGGGGCGAGGGGACAGUUUAAAGUUAUACUGUUACAUUGAUGUUGUUGACCCUGGUUGCUGCGGAAAAGGAGGAGGUUGAAAGGGGGGUGAGUGUAACGGAUGUGAAAUGGCUAGCUAGUUAGCGGGUACGCGCUAAUAGCAUUUCAAUCGGUUACGUCACUUGCUCUGAGACCUGAAGUAGGGUUUCCCCUUGCUCAGCAAGGCCCGCGGCCUUUGUGGCGCGAUGGGUAACGAUGCUUCGUGGGCGACCGUUGUUGAUGUGUGCAGAAGGUCACUGGUUCGCGCCCGUGACGGUUUAAAGUUAUACUGUUACACUAGAUGCCUAAUUAGCAGUUGUUCCCUCCGUCUUCCAUAAACAAGUGGGGUAGCAUGGAGAUAUGUCUUCCAUAAACAAGUGGGGUAGCAUGGAGAUAUGUCUUCCAUAAACAAGUGGGGUAGCAUGGAGAUAUGGCCGUGUGGGAACACUAACCCUAUAAAAGGUGUGUAUCAAUGUAACCCAGUUUUUUGAAAAUAAUUUCUUGCUGAUAUGAAAGAAAAGGUCCUUAUGCUUCCAAAACCAUACCGCAAACGAUGGGAGUUAAUGUUCAGACCGAGCGUCAGGGCUCUUAACAAAACUACUUCAUACAGAAGCCUUCAUCCAAUGACUUAUGUGUAAUGUAAUGGAACGGAGUCAUGAUAAAGGGCUAGUCCUUACCUAGUCCCUUGGUUCAAAACAGAGAGGCAGCUUACUUUCCCCUCAUGUCAGGAUGAUGUGGCAGUCUCAAAACACUCCCAGUGCAUAUCUAGAGGGGUAUCCUACAAAGCAGGGUCUCGCAGUUAGCGAGGUAACUUUGGUAAACUUAGUUCAACUCAGGAUAACCGGUCAUAAGAGAGUGUCUCACCUUUUAGCCAGGUACAUUUCUAUGGCAACGAAUCCUUCAGAACUAACCUGCUCCGGGGCAGGCUAACUCCCCUUCCCUGAAUGAAAUGACAGAGCCACAAGUUGAAGACAAGUCAAAUUCCCUCACUCUAGCAAAGAUUGUGUCAUCCCCUUCAUUUGCAGAAGAUGACUAAUUAAACAUUUUAUUAAUCAAAUGUUUGUGUUAUGUUAAAAUAUCACAUUACACAUUCAGUAAUGACAGAAUGCAUUUUAAACUUCACACAACAACACUUAUGAAAGAAAAUGGUGAUGGUGUGGGUAAAAAAGUGCUUGUGCGUUGACAAGCCCAAAGACAGCAUUAAUGAUAAGUAAUAAAGACAGCACUAGAUGUCCUAACCGACUUGCCAAAACUAUAGUUUGUUAACAAGAAAUUUGUGGAGUGGUUGAAAAACAAGUUUUAAAGACUCCUACCUAAGUCUAUGUAAACUUCCGACUUCAACUGUAUAUGGUUUCCAGUUUGCAUAAAGUCCAGUAAAGUUCCUUGAUGGCCGUCUUGGUAUCCACCUGCGUGGGGAUGUACACGGCUGUGACGAUAACCGAGACGAGUUCUCUUGGGAGAUAAUACGGUAGGCAUUUGAUUGUGAGGAAGGUGAACAAAAGGACUUGAAUUCCUGUAUGUUGUUACAAUUACACCAUGAGUCGUUAAUCAUGAAACAUACACCCCCGCCCUUCUUCUUACCAGAGAGAUGUUUAUUCCUGUUGGCGCAAUGCACUGAAAAUCACGUUGGCUGUAUGGACUCCGACAGCAUGUUCCCAGCUAGCCAUGUUUCAUUGAGACAGAGUAUGUUACAAUCCCGGAUAUCUCUUUGGAAAGCAACUCUUGGCCUGAUUUUGUCGACUUUGUUACCUAGGGACUGGACAUUAGAGAGUAAUAUACUGGGAAGUGGUGGGUGGUGUGUGCGCAUCCGAAGCCUCACUAGAAGACCGCUCCGGCACCCUCUCCUCCGACGGCGUUGUUUUGGGUCGGCCUCUGGAAUCAGAUCAAAUGCCCUGGGAGGUGCAGACAAAGGCUCCGCUUUGGGAAAGUUGUAUUCCUGGUCGUAAUGCUGUGGACAAAUGUUCCAGUGUUCCAACACUCCCAUGGCUGUCUGUCUCCCAUCAGCCCCCCUGGCAGAUGUGGAGGACAAACCACGUGGGGGCCCCUUCCAUGGGGUGAGGAUGAUGAAGGUAAACGCCUACACCUUUUGUAUAGGCAUGGGGUGUGGCAAACUGACUGCAGACGUGUAGCCUAAUUUAGGCUGCAACGAUAUUCAUGUGGGGCAACCCCCUCCUCUCUGGCUGCCUCUGCUCACCAGACUCCUGACGCUGCUCUGGGAAUUCCUACACGUAGGGGCCAGGGUGGCCAAUACGUUUCUGAUCCCUCUUCCUUUCCCAUUGUAAAUCAUUUCACAUCACUCUCCUGCCUCCUCUAAAAAUCUGCUCUUUUUUGUAUCCCACUGUUCAAUAAACUCCUGUGCUGUA